UUUAACAUGAGAGUUUGAUCCUGGCUCAGGAUGAACGCUGGCGGCGUGCUUAACACAUGCAAGUCGAACGAAGCACUUUAUUUGAUUUCUUCGGAAUGAAGAUUUUGUGACUGAGUGGCGGACGGGUGAGUAACGCGUGGGUAACCUGCCUCAUACAGGGGGAUAACAGUUGGAAACGACUGCUAAUACCGCAUAAGCGCACAGGGUCRCAUGACCUGGUGUGAAAAACUCCGGUGGUAUGAGAUGGACCCGCGUCUGAUUAGCCAGUUGGUGGGGYAACGGCCUACCAAAGCGACGAUCAGUAGCCGACCUGAGAGGGUGACCGGCCACAUUGGGACUGAGACACGGCCCAAACUCCUACGGGAGGCAGCAGUGGGGAAUAUUGCACAAUGGGGGAAACCCUGAUGCAGCGACGCCGCGUGAGCGAAGAAGUAUUUCGGUAUGUAAAGCUCUAUCAGCAGGGAAGAAGAAAUGACGGUACCUGACUAAGAAGCACCGGCUAAAUACG
rnacentral:rRNA from 1 species